ACAGCAGUAGCCGCGGUAAAACGGAGGGUGCAAGCGUUAAUCGGAAUUACUGGGCGUAAAGCGCACGCAGGCGGUCUGACAAGUCAGAUGUGAAAUCCCCGGGCUUAACCUGGGAACUGCAUUUGAAACUGUCAGGCUGGAGUCUUGUAGAGGGGGGUAGAAUUCCAGGUGUAGCGGUGAAAUGCGUAGAGAUCUGGAGGAAUACCGGUGGCGAAGGCGGCCCCCUGGACAAAGACUGACGCUCAGGUGCGAAAGCGUGGGGAGCAAACAGGAUUAGAUACCCCUGUAGUCCCUGUCUCUUAUAA
rnacentral:rRNA from 1 species